CUAAACUCUCAUCUCUCUAAAAGCUCUCCCUUCUCUCUAAAAAUUCUCAGAAAUUUUCCAAAUUUUAAAGUUUUAAUCUUGUAAUCUCGAAAACAUGUAUUCCAUUUCAAGAUCAAUAAAAAGUAAGUUUAAUCAUAUUCUGUGUACAAUUUUUAAGUUUAAUACAUAUCAAAACUUUCCUUAUCAUUGUCAUAUCAAAGUAACAAUAAGUUAAAUACUAAAAUAAAAGAAAGUAGUAAAAAUAAUUUUCCAAAAAUUAUACUUUUCGAUCAAAGACCAAAACUUCACAAUGACCCACAAAAUUAAAACUGUUGUUACCUUGCAAUUUUAUAUAGAAACAGAUGCAUAGAAAAAUACGGGAAAGUGAAUCGAUGAGAGGAUACCUUCUUGAACUUCUUCACCAGCACUUCCUUCACCAAAAACCCGAGAGAAUCUCCAAUUUAAAACGACGAAGCUCCAACCUCAUCACCACCAUUCAUU
rnacentral:lncRNA from 1 species